rnacentral:rRNA from 1 species
UACGUAGGGACCGAGCGUUGUCCGGAUUCAUUGGGCGUAAAGAGCUCGUAGGCGGCUGCUCAAGUCGAAUGUGAAAACUCGAGGCUCAACCUCGAGCCUGCAUUCGAUACUGGGCGGCUAGAGUCUGGUAGGGGGAUCUGGAAUUCCUGGUGUAGCGGUGGAAUGCGCAGAUAUCAGGAGGAACACCGAUGGCGAAGGCAGCUUGCUGGGACGGUACUGACGCUGAGACGCGAAAGCGUGGGGAGCAAACAGG